rnacentral:rRNA from 1 species
CCCUUAGAUGUUCUGGGCUGCACACGUGCUACACUGGCAGGUUCAGCGAGCUUCGUGCCCUGAUCUGAAAGGAAUGGGAAAUCUUUUCAAAACCUGCCGUGCUUGGGAUAGAUGUUUGCAAUUAUUCAUCUUCAACGAGGAUUGCCUUGUAAGCGCAUGUCAUCAGCAUGCAUUGAAUACGACCCUGUAUUCUGUACACACCGCCCGUCGCACCUACCGAUUGGAUGGUCCGGUGAAGCCUCGGGAUUGUGGUUCUUGCCGCUUUAUUGUGGCGUGACCGCGAGAACUUGUCUAAACCUUAUCAUUUAGAGGAAGGAGAAGUCGUAACA